AUGAAACUGUCACCUGUUAUGUAACAUUUAUUAACCUCGUCUUUGUUUUAUUUUAGUGCACCCAGAACUAUUCUGGGAAACGUCCUUCCUUUGUGUUUACAUCUUAUGGAAUGCUCACUGUGUUGGUUCUCAGGUCAUAUCUACCCAAGUUGGUUUCACUGCUGUCCUGCCAUGUCAAUUUAAUAACGAGCAAAUCCGAACACCGCAUGUUCAGUGGUGCACUGAUGCUGAGAUUGUGUUUGAGGGAUGGAAUGGGAAGUCGUAUGUGGGUGAGGGAUAUGAGGGCCGUGUGGACUUUCCUCAGGACGAGCUGCUUAAAGGAAACUGUUCUCUGACGUUUAAGAACAUCAGAAAAUCUGAUGCAGGAAUCUGACUGUUACUGAGACAUGCAAAGACAUCUGUCUCUACAGAAUGGAGAUUGAUUGGGAGUGUGAAAGUCUCAGUCGAUGAGCCCAAAGAAACACCAAAAAAGCCAACAGCCUCAGCCUACGCAGGAAUGACCUCUCCCUAGCCACUGGUGAGGGUCGUGUCUCUCCUCUCCUGGUUACUCUUUCCUCUCUUUAGCAAGUGAGGAAACAUCAUUACAGUAGCACAUGAAGUGAAAACUCAGACAUAUCUGCUUAUGACUGUAGCUGCUAAAGGAGCUUUCACAGUGUAGCAUGUCAUAUAUUUUGCAUUAGAAGAACAAGAAGCCUUUAUAUGUCACAUAUACAUUACAGCACAGUGAAAUUCUUUUCUUCGCAUAUCCCAGCUUGUUAGGAAGCUGGAGUCAGAGCACAGGGCCAGCCAUGACACGGCUUCUGGAGCUGAAAGGGUUAAGGGCCUUGCUCAAGGGCCCAACAGUGGCAGCUUGGUGGUGCUGGGGCUUAAACUCCUGACCUUCUGAUCAGUAACCCAGAACCUUAAACGAUGAACCAGAAGCAGUGUCUUAGGGGUUCUUAGGCACAUUGAGAAGUAGAGGAAAACCAGUCUCAAGCAGCUUAUUGCUUUUAAACAAAAUGGCUACAAAGACAAUAUGAUAAAAUAUAGUGUUCAAUAUGUAACAGUAAUUUUAAAUAAACAGUUGUAUUUGGUGAAAUUCCUGCUA